rnacentral:rRNA from 1 species
UACAGAGGUCCCAAGCGUUGUUCGGAUUCACUGGGCGUAAAGGGUGCGUGGGCGGUCGGGUAAGUCUGAUGUGAAAUCUCACAGCUUAACUGUGAAACUGCAUUGGAUACUAUUCGGCUUGAGAGUUGGAGGGGGGACUGGAAUUCUUGGUGUAGCAGUGAAAUGCGUAGAUAUCAAGAGGAACACCAGUGGCGAAGGCGAGUCCCUGGACAACUUCUGACGCUGAGGCACGAAAGCUAGGGGAGCAAACAGG